rnacentral:lncRNA from 1 species
GUCAGCCAAAGGCAACUUCCCCCCACCCAAGUGCCAGGGGAACAACAGACUGCUGGAAAGCACCUGGAAGGGCUGCAGGAGACAGGUAGCAGCAGUGGAAGAUCUGGACAAUAUGAAGAAUAGUUAUUACAGUCACUCUGUGCAAGGUUUCUAUCUCCUGGUGAAGGUCUGGAAGAGGAAAUAGCCAGUCCUCCACCGAGCCUGUGACAAAGUUUGAACUGAGAAUUUAGGAGGCACUCAAAACGUUCACUGGUAACAAAAUUUGACAUUUUUCUAGCACUUAAUAUAGA